rnacentral:rRNA from 1 species
AUUGAACGCUGGCGGCAGGCCUAACACAUGCAAGUCGAACGACUGGCGGUUGGGAAAGGAAUGUCUGGGAAACUGACCGAUGGAGGGGGAUAACUACUGGAAACGGUAGCUAAUACCGCAUACAAUCAGUUGUGCCCAGAUGGGUUGAGCUAGUAGGUGGGGUAACGGCUCCCCUAGGCGACGAUCCCUAGCUGGUCUGAGAGGAUGACCAGCCCAACUGGAACGGAGAAACGGUCCAGACUCCUACGGGAGGCAGCAGUGGGGAAUAUUGCACAAUGGGCGAAAGCCUGAUGCAGCCAUGCCGCGUGUAUGAAGAAGGCCUUCGGGUUGUAAAGUACUUUCAGCGAGGAGGCGUUACUCGCAGAAGAAGCACCGGCUAACUCCGUGCCAGCAGCCGCGGUAAUAC